UGGCUACAACAAAGGGAAGCGAAGCCGUAAGGUGGAGCGGAGCCCAAAAAAGUAGUCCCAGUUCAGAUUGAGGGCUGCAACCCGCCCUCAUGAAGUCGGAGUUGCUAGUAAUCGCAGAUCAGCAUGCUGUGGUGAAUACGUUCCCGGGCCUUGUACACACCGCCCGUCACACCAUGAGAGCCGGGAACACCCGAAGUCCGUAGUCUAACCGCAAGGAGGACGCGGCCGAAGGUGGGUUUGGUAAUUGGGGUGAAGUCGUAACAAGGUAUC
rnacentral:rRNA from 1 species